AAUCGGUCCACCUCAGCCUGGGGACGCAGCCAGCCAAGCUCCAGUGUUGUCGGUGUCACAGCCACCACUCGGAGGUCCUGGGGCCCAUCGAUCACUAGCCAGGUUAAAGAGGAGGACUCAGGCUCAGAGAAGACCCAGAAUGUGACAGAUGCCCAUACCGAGAGCAGAAUGGAUGAGCUAAGAACAUGGCCAAGCCUGGCACAGGCCAACUUGGCACCACCAUCCUGGCUCUGAGUGAGGGAGAAAGUCUAGGGCUUCAACUGGAAAGCGGCGCCCUUGACAACACCAAGGAUCGGUUUGUAUUUAUUUACUCAGAGCAGGAGACAACUGCUGCCCUAAAAGCUCCUCUUAUCUCAAGUGUUUAUUUUAAUUCUUCUUUCCCUGAAAUUUCUUAAGAAACUUCCUUUUCGAAGUCCCACCCUUUCAAGAUUAGAGCUAUGUAAAUAAUAUAUACAGAGAAGAAGAGAGUGGGAGAAACACUUUAAAAUGUUAGCAGUGCUUGUUUUAGUGAGGAGCAGCCAGGAAUUGUUUUUCUUUUCUCUAGUUGCCAAAUUCUUGUCUCGUGAUUAAAGUAUUUUUAUAACAACAACAAAAAAAGAUGUUUAAACAGAAGAAAAAAUUCAAGCUAUCUUGGUUGCGCCACGAAGUUGAGAUUUCUGCUUCUGCUUUGGCUGGAGAGUGAGGAGAGGCAGAACAUAGUAGGGGGCUGGCCUGAGGAGCAUAAUGACAAGACAAAGCAAAGUGGAGUGAGGAUGACAGUUCCUCUGAGCUGUCCCCUUCUGUCCUAGUGCCUUCCGAGGCUUUAGGCCCAGGGAGUUGUUUAUUUUUACAGAGUCCUGGCUAAGCUGAUGAAGAUGAGGAUGACAUGGCCCACACCCCAUAUGGCAUUUGUGGGAUGAUGCAGGAAAACAUGAGUUGGAUGGUAGAAAUGUCAGAAGAUUUGCAGCUGGGGAAACGACCAUAUCUUAAAAGCCCAGUCUGCACAAAGGGAGGCCCCAAAUAAGUGACCACAAGGCUUUGUCCUUAGGGUGUUCCCUCUAAUGUUUUAAGAGCAAGUUGGAUGGCCAGGAGUGGUGGCUCAUGCCUGUAAUCCCAGCACUUUGGGAGGCUGAGGCGGGCAGAUCACUUGAGCCCAGGAGUUCAGGACCAGCCUGGGCAUGCAACAUGGAGAAACCCCGUCUCUACUAAAAAUACAAACAUUAGCAGGCUAAGGUGGUGCACACCUGUAGUCCCAGCUACUUGGGAGGCUGAGGUAAGAGGAUGACCUAAGCCUGGGAUGCAGAGGUU
rnacentral:lncRNA from 1 species